rnacentral:rRNA from 1 species
CCUACGGGUGGCAGCAGUGAGGAAUAUUGGUCAAUGGGCGGGAGCCUGAACCAGCCAAGUAGCGUGAAGGAUGACUGCCCUACGGGUUGUAAACCGCUUUUAUAAAGGAAUAAAGUGAGGCACGUGUGCCUUUUUGUAUGUACCGUAUGAAUAAGGAUCGGCUAAUUCCGUGCCAGCAGCCGCGGUAAUACGGAGGAUCCGAGCGUUAUCCGGAUUUAUUGGGUUUAAAGGGAGCGUAGAUGGGUUGUUAAGUCAGUUGUGAAAGUUUGCGGCUCAAACGUAAAAUUGCAGUUGAUACUGGAAGCCUUGAGUACAGUUGAGGUAGGCGGAAUUCGUGGUGUAGCGGUGAAAUGCUUAGAUAUCACGAAGAACUCCGAUUGCGAAGGCAGCCUACUAGACUGCCACUGACAUUGAUGCUCGAAAGUGUGGGUAUCAAACAGGAUUAGAUACCCGUGUAGUC